rfam:Lingula anatina scaffold838, whole genome shotgun sequence.
GUAAAAUGAUGACCACCAUGCGCGACAUCUGAAUCUGUUGCACAGUGGUAGUUCUAAGCUGAAUCUAGUGUUUUACUGGGGAAAGCUUGAACUGCUACUCAGCUUUCAGAAUCGUGAUCGCAAAAAAAGGAAAUCUGAUUAC